AAAGGCUGCCGUACAAAACUGAUGUUAAUGACAUGUAGAAUAAUUGACGUCAAAUUUCUAUAAAAUCCAUUUAUAUAAAAUCCUAUUUCCAAAAGCCGUUCUAUGAAUAACUGUAUUAAGCGAAGUCGUGCAAGUAUGAUGAAGAUUCAACAAUAAGCAAAUUAAUAGCACGUGAAAGAUGUUUUAUCAAGUUUGCGUCCAGUGAAUAUGACGGGCAAUUAUACAUGACACCACAAGAUUUUUUUUUUAGAAUCAGUUGUCUAACAAGAACCCAGACCUUGCUUGAAACGUCGCAUACUAACUGAACGUGAUAUAAAUUCAAUGCGUGAUGAAACUCCACCGUUGAAGAAAGGUUCAAAUCAAUUGUCUAGAAAAUUAAAGGAUCGAGGUAGCUUCAUAUACACAUAAAGUUGAAUUUAGUGUUUUGGAAAAAAAAUCUCGUCUUUUUCUUUUAGGCAUUAUUUCCUAUACCGAGUAUUCGUUUUUAUUAUCAAUUUUAACAGGUAAGUGAAGCAUAUAUCGGAAUUAACGUUCGUAUGUAUUAAAAACUCUGUGGAGAAUGUUUAAAACACCAUAAAAAGA